rnacentral:rRNA from 1 species
CUGGGCGUAAAGCGCGCGCAGGCGGCUAUUUAAGUUGGAUGUGAAAGCCUACGGCUCAACCGUAGAACUGCAUCCAAAACUAUUUAGCUAGAGUGUGGGAGAGGAAGAUGGAAUUAGUUGUGUAGGGGUAAAAUCCGUAGAGAUAACUAGGAAUACCAAAAGCGAAGGCAAUCUUCUGGAACACUACUGACGCUGAGGCGCGAAAGCGUGGGGAGCAAACGGGAUUAGAUACCCCGGUAGUCCACGCAGUAAACGAUGAAUGUUAGUCGUCGGGGGCCUAGUGUCUUCGGUGAUGCAGCUAACGCAUUAAACAUUCCGCCUGGGGAGUACGGUCGCAAGAUUAAAACUCAAAGGAAUAGACGGGGACCCGCACAAGUGGUGGAGCAUGUGGUUUAAUUCGAAGAUACGCGAAGAACCUUACCUAGCCUUGACAUAUUUUAGAACACACCAGAGAUGGAGUGGUGCCUUCGGGAGCUAAUUUACAGGUGCUGCACGGCUGUCGUCAGCUCGUGUCGUGAGAUGUUGGGUUAAGUCCCGCAACGAGCGCAACCCUCGUCACUAGUUACUAACGGUUCGGCCGAGGACUCUAGUGAGACUGCCUUCGUAAGGAGGAGGAAGGUGAGGACGACGUCAAGUCAUCAUGGCCCUUACGGCUAGGGCAACACACGUGCUACAAUGGUUGGGACAAUGAGACGCAAUACCGCGAGGUGGAGCAAAUCUAUAAACCCAAUCUCAGUUCGGAUUGUUCUCUGCAACUCGAGAACAUGAAGCUGGAAUCACUAGUAAUCGUAGAUCAGCUAUGCUACGGUGAAUACG